CCUACGGGUGGCUGCAGUGGGGAAUAUUGGACAAUGGGGGCAACCCUGAUCCAGCCAUGCCGCGUGUGUGAAGAAGGCCCUCGGGUUGUAAAGCACUUUCAGUGAGGAAGAACGCCUGGUGGUUAAUACCCAUCAGGAAAGACAUCACUCACAGAAGAAGCACCGGCUAACUCCGUUCCAGCAGCCGCGGUAAUACGGAGGGUGCGAGCGUUAAUCGGAAUUACUGGGCGUAAAGCGCGCGUAGGUGGCUUGAUAAGCCGGUUGUGAAAGCCCCGGGCUCAACCUGGGAACGGCAUCCGGAACUGUCAAGCUAGAGUGCAGGAGAGGAAGGUAGAAUUCCCGGUGUAGCGGUGAAAUGCGUAGAGAUCGGGAGGAAUACCAGUGGCGAAGGCGGCCUUCUGGACUGACACUGACACUGAGGUGCGAAAGCGUGGGUAGCAAACAGGAUUAGAUACCCUGGUAGUC
rnacentral:rRNA from 1 species